rnacentral:antisense_RNA from 1 species
CGCUAUGGGCGGGCCGGCGGGGGAGCCCGUCAGGGCUCGUCGGUCCUACGUCCGAUACGCCAACUCCGUCGGUCCCGCUCACCCUU